rnacentral:rRNA from 1 species
AACCAACAGGAUUGCCCCAGUAACGGCGAGUGAAGCGGCAACAGCUCAAAUUUGAAAUCUGCUCUAGGGCCGAGUUGUAAUUUGCAGAGGAUGCUUUUGGCGCGGUGCCUUCUGAGUCCCCUGGAACGGGGCGCCAUAGAGGGUGAGAGCCCCGUAUAGUCGGCCGCCAAGCCUGUGUAAAGCUCCUUCGACGAGUCGAGUAGUUUGGGAAUGCUGCUCUAAACGGGAGGUAUAUUCCUUCUAAAGCUAAAUAUCUGCCGGAGACCGAUAGCGCACAAGUAGAGUGAUCGAAAGAUGAAAAGCACUUUGAAAAGAGAGUCAAACAGCACGUGAAAUUGUUGAAAGGGAAGCGCUCGUGACCAGACUUGCGCCGGGCCGAUCAUCCGCCGUUCUCGGCGGUGCACUCGGCCCGGUUCAGGCCAGCAUCGGUUUCCUCCGGGGGAUAAAAGCGCCGGCAACGUAGCUCCCUCGGGAGUGUUAUAGGCCGGCGCAUAAUGUCCUGGAGGGGACCGAGGACCGCGCCCUGCGAGGAUGCUGGCGUAAUGUCAUCAGCGACCGUCAA